AUGAACGCUGGCGGCGUGCUUAACACAUGCAAGUCGAACGAAGCAUUUAGGACAGAUUACUUCGGUUUGAAGUUCUUUAUGACUGAGUGGCGGACGGGUGAGUAACGCGUGGGUAACCUGCCUUGUACUGGGGGAUAGCAGCUGGAAACGGCUGGUAAUACCGCAUAAGCGCACAAUGUUGCAUGACAUGGUGUGAAAAACUCCGGUGGUAUAAGAUGGACCCGCGUCUGAUUAGCUAGUUGGUGAGAUAACAGCCCACCAAGGCGACGAUCAGUAGCCGACCUGAGAGGGUGACCGGCCACAUUGGGACUGAGACACGGCCCAGACUCCUACGGGAGGCAGCAGUGGGGAAUAUUGCACAAUGGAGGAAACUCUGAUGCAGCGACGCCGCGUGAGUGAAGAAGUAAUUCGUUAUGUAAAGCUCUAUCAGCAGGGAAGAUAGUGACGGUACCUGACGAAGAAGCUCCGGCUAAAUACGUG
rnacentral:rRNA from 1 species